AACGAACGCUGGCGGCAGGCUUAACACAUGCAAGUCGAGCGCCCCGCAAGGGGAGCGGCAGACGGGUGAGUAACGCGUGGGAAUCUACCCAUCUCUACGGAAUAACGCAUGGAAACGUGUGCUAAUACCGUAUACGUCCUUCGGGAGAAAGAUUUAUCGGAGAUGGAUGAGCCCGCGUUGGAUUAGCUAGUUGGUGGGGUAAAGGCCGACCACGGCGACGAUCCAUAGCUGGUCUGAGAGGAUGAUCAGCCACACUGGGACUGAGACACGGCCCAGACUCCUACGGGAGGCAGCAGUGGGGGAUAUUGGACAAUGGGCGCAAGCCUGGGCCGGCCAUGCCGCGUGAGUGAUGAAGGCCCUAGGGUUGUAAAGCUCUUUCACCGGUGAAGAUAAUGUCGGUAACCGGAGAAGAAGGCCCGGCUAACUUCGUGCCAGCCGCCGCGGUAAGAC
rnacentral:rRNA from 1 species